rnacentral:rRNA from 1 species
AUUGAACGCUGGCGGCAUGCCUUACACAUGCAAGUCGAACGGAUAAAGGCCGCUAGGUGCUGGCGAGAGGGGCACGGGGGAGUAAAAUACCUGGAAGUGUCCCGGCGAGGGGGGGAUAACAUCCGGAAAGGAGCGCAAAUCCCGCACGCGUUAUGGGUGAAAGCGGGGGGGCGCUACGGACCGCGCGCUUGGAGAGGCCCCUAGGUCGGAUUAGGUAGUUGGUGGGGUAAAGGCUCACCAAGCCAACCAUCUGUAACUGGUCUGAGAGGACGACCCGCCACACUGGGACUGAGACACGGCCCAGACUCCUACGGGAGGCAGCAGUGGGGAAUUUUGGACAAUGGGCGCAAGCCUGAUCCAGCAAUGCCGCGUGCAGGAAGAAGGCCUUCGGGUUGUAAACUGCUUUUGUACGGAACGAAACGGCUCUGGUUAAUACCCGGGGCUAAUGACGGUACCGUAAGAAUAAGCACCGGCUAACUACGUG